GUUACUGCUGUAUUGGUACCUACUAUACAUACAUAAAUUAAUACAAAAUAACUUUGUGAAGUUCAAUUAAGAAUAACCAGGAAUUAAUUUUGUAAUUGGGAAUUAAAUUUUAGUUCCGCAUCACAGUAUUGAACAAACAAUACAGUCCCACACAAAAUCAUCCAUUGUAUCUAUAUAGUUUCCCAUAUAACUAAACCUUUUUUUAAUAAGUAUUUCAAAUGCCCCCCAUAAACACAAUACACAGACUUCCAAUUACAAGAUAUUUUAAAUCAUUAUUGUUCACUCAGUAACAACUAUUAUUAAAUUUAUCUUGAUAUCAGUCUUCAACCUGC